AAAGAGUCAUCCGAAAAAGCUUCUAACUUUUACAAAAAGCAUUACCAUGUUUAU
rnacentral:tRNA from 1 species